GACGAACGCUGGCGGCGUGCUUAACACAUGCAAGUCGAACGAAGUGGCGAACGGGUGAGUAACGCGUAAUCAACCUGCCCUUCAGAGGGGGACAACAGUUGGAAACGACUGCUAAUACCGCAUACUGAAGGAGGGGAUUGCGUCUGAUUGGCUAGUUGGAGGGGUAACGGCCAACCAGGGCGAGGAUCAGUAGCCGGUCUGAGCGGAUGAACGGCCACAUUGGGAAUGGUGACAGGCCCAGACUCCUACGGGAGGCAGCAGUGGGGAAUCUGCCGCAAUGGACGCAAGUCUGACGGAGCAACGCCGGGUGAGUGAUGACGGGCUUCGGGUUGUAAAGCUCUGUUAAUCGGGACGCGGUACCGGAAUAGAAAGCCACGGCUAACUACGUGCCAGCCGCCGCGGUAAUAC
rnacentral:rRNA from 1 species